rnacentral:rRNA from 1 species
UUGAGAUUUUAACACGAAGUGAGUGGCGAACGGGUGAGUAACACGUGGGUAACCUGCCCAGAAGUAGGGGAUAACACCUGGAAACAGAUGCUAAUACCGUAUAACAGAGAAAACCGCAUGGUUUUCUUUUAAAAGAUGGCUCUGCUAUCACUUCUGGAUGGACCCGCGGCGUAUUAGCUAGUUGGUGAGGUAAAGGCUCACCAAGGCAGUGAUACGUAGCCGACCUGAGAGGGUAAUCGGCCACAUUGGGACUGAGACACGGCCCAGACUCCUACGGGAGGC